UGCCACCACCUUGCCUUGUCAUGUC
rnacentral:misc_RNA from 1 species